rnacentral:misc_RNA from 1 species
GAAGAGAGGUCUUGCAUGGAAGUAAGAGGCCAUCUUCGAUAGCCAAGGAUGAUUUGCCUGUAGCCCCAUUGUCAUCAGCUCUCUCCGUCGAGAGCGACAACCGGGCUCUACUGGCAAGUCUCCUCGGCUACCCGAGUACCUCUUAUGCUAUCCCAUGUCAGACCUGCUCUUC